rnacentral:rRNA from 1 species
UACGGAGGGGGCUAGCGUUGUUCGGAAUUACUGGGCGUAAAGCGCACGUAGGCGGCUUUGCAAGUUAGAGGUGAAAGCCCGGGGCUCAACUCCGGAAUUGCCUUUAAAACUGCAUCGCUAGAGUUGUGGAGAGGUAAGUGGAAUUCCGAGUGUAGAGGUGAAAUUCGUAGAUAUUCGGAAGAACACCAGUGGCGAAGGCGACUUACUGGACACAUAUUGACGCUGAGGUGCGAAAGCGUGGGGAGCAAACAGG